rnacentral:rRNA from 1 species
UAGGGAAUCUUCCACAAUGGACGAAAGUCUAAUGGAGCAACGCCGCGUGAGUGAAGAAGGGUUUCGGCUCGUAAAACUCUGUUGUUAAAGAAGAACAUAUCUGAGAGUAACUGUUCAGGUAUUGACGGUAUUUAACCAGAAAGCCACGGCUAACUACGUGCUAG